rnacentral:lncRNA from 1 species
CCUUCACACCUGCAACCAAUUCCUAAUGGCAUCUAUUAGAUCAGCCAGCCAAACAUCAUUUCCCACAUCAGAAAGAUGUACGCCAUCUUUGCGGUAGAGGGACACCUCGCCGAACUUGAUGGUGGGGUGCUCGAUCACGCUGUCAGUGCUACCACUCUAUGAGCCACCAAUCCAAGAGUUUCCUGGCUUUGUUUAUCGCAAUAGGGCAAUGCCACACAUGCCUCUCCAGCAGUGAUGACCAAAAUAGGGUCAGGUUUGGGAAAGAGGCAAUCAGUUCAUCAAAGUCCUUGUAAAUGUUCCACGCCCUUUCGAUAGGCCAAGUCAUUUUCUCCCAGCUGUAUAAACAAGACAUCAGGGGAACCAUGCAUGGCAACACUAGCUUUCACUGCUGGCAGGAAUUCAGCCCAAUGCAUUCCCCUCCAUGUGAUCCAGGAAACUCUAACAUUCACUGGUCAUCCCAGCCUGCACCCCAGAUCUUGAUCAAAGACACGAGCUCAAGCCCAGUGGACAAUUCUGUGGCCAGUUAUCCAAACGUGAACCCCUACAUCACCUGAAAUUAAAAUGGAAUGACAAGGAUGAAAAGGUAAAGUCAGUUAUGAUUCAUUGGGCUAAAGAUUUUGGGUAUAAUAUACAGCUGAGUGAUUGGGAAAAAUUAUGGAAAGAAGGUUUAAAGUUUACUGCAUGCAAUGCCUUAAAAGAAAAUGUGAUGAAAAUGAUGUAUAGAUGGUAUAUUACACCCAUUAAAUUAGCUAAAAUGUAUAAAGUUACUAAUAAAUGUUGGAAAUGUAAAGAAAAAGAAGGAACAUUUUAUCACAUGUGGUGGGAAUGUAAAAAAGUGAAAAGCUUCUGGGAAAUGAUAUAGAACGAGAUGAAAAAAAUGUUGAAAUAUACAUUUAUAAAGAAACCAGAAGCAUUUUUACUGGGCAUUGUAGGAAGUGAUAUAAAUAGAAAAGAAUGUAAGCUGUUUUUAUAUGCAACGACGGCAGCAAGAAUAUUAUUGGCACAAAAAUGGAAGCAAGAAGAAUUACCGACGAAAGAAGAAUGGAGGAUGAAGUUAAUGGACUAUGCAGAACUAGAUAAACUAACAGGAAGGAUUCGAAAUCUGCGGGACCAGAAAUUCACAGAAGACUGGUGUAAAUUUACAGACUAUUUGAAAAGCAAUUGUGAUGAUCAGACUACGUUUGUAGGUUUGCAAGAAGUUUUGUGGGGUGAAUUAUUGGAACUAUUGCAAAAAUGGAUAAAGGGGAGGAUGGUUAGUUAAGAUAAUUAAAGGCAAUAGAAAUUUAAGAAAUGCAUAAGAAGUGAUGAAAACGGUGGAUCAUCAGAGGUGCUGAUGUCAAAAAAAAGAUUGUAUAAGUGGUGAAGUUUUGU